GACGAACGCUGGCGGCGUGCUUAACACAUGCAAGUCGAACGGAAAGGCCCUGCUUUUGUGGGGUGCUCGAGUGGCGAACGGGUGAGUAACACGUGAGUAACCUGCCCUUGACUUUGGGAUAACUUCAGGAAACUGGGGCUAAUACCGGAUAGGAGCUCCUGCUGCAUGGUGGGGGUUGGAACGUUUCGGCGGUUGGGGAUGGACUCGCGGCUUAUCAGCUUGUUGGUGGGGUAGUGGCUUACCAAGGCUUUGACGGGUAGCCGGCCUGAGAGGGUGACCGGCAACAUUGGGACUGAGAUACGGCCCAGACUCCUACGGGAGGCAGCAGUGGGGAAUAUUGCAAAAUGGGCGGAAGCCUGAUGCAGCAACGCCGCGUGCGGGAUGACGGCCUUCGGGUUGUAAACCGCUUUCGCCUGUGACGAAGCGUGAGUGAAGGUAAUGGGUAAAGAAGCACCGGCUAACUACGUG
rnacentral:rRNA from 1 species